rnacentral:rRNA from 1 species
UGAGGAAUAUUGGACAAUGGGUGAGAGCCUGAUCCAGCCAUCCCGCGUGAAGGACGACGGCCCUAUGGGUUGUAAACUUCUUUUGUAUAGGGAUAAACCUUUCCACGUGUGGAAAGCUGAAUGUACUAUACGAAUAAGCACCGACUAACUCCGUGCCAGCAGCCGCGGUAAUACGGAGGGUGCAAGCGUUAUCCGGAUUUAUUGGGUUUAAAGGGUCCGUAGGCGGAUCUGUAAGUCAGUGGUGAAAUCUCAUAGCUUAACUAUGAAACUGCCAUUGAUACUGCAGGUCUUGAGUAAAGUAGAAGUGGCUGGAAUAAGUAGUGUAGCGGUGAAAUGCAUAGAUAUUACUUAGAACACCAAUUGCGAAGGCAGGUCACUAUGUUUUAACUGACGCUGAUGGACGAAAGCGUGGGGAGCGAACAGG